CCAAAUGAGAGAGUGGGAUGCUCUUGGUUCAGGUAAGAAUUCACCAACAUUAUUAACAAACAAUUUCAAAAAACGAACACUACUCAUCUGAGAAACUUGCUCAAAAAGCCUCUUCCAUGACCGGAUCGGAGAAUUAAAGUGCUGCAAAGCUCCCCACUCCCUCUUACAGAUAUAUUCCCACAGAAUUUCCGAACACCCCAAGGAUCGGAAUUCUUUACAAGUCAUAGAGAAGGCAAUUAUUGAGUAUACCGGAAGGAGUUGGAGGAUAGUGAUGAGCUGCUCUCGGUUCAGCCGUGUUAUGACGCAAGGUAAAGAAACAGACGACGACGAUGAGGAUGGCGUCGCCGGAGGAUGAAGAAGGAUUUUUUUGCGGCUUGUCAUAAUCCUGUGAGAUGAACAAGUAGAGUAGUGUCGUUCUACGUAAUGAUCUGG
rnacentral:lncRNA from 1 species